GAGAGAGAGACAGAGAGAAUUGGAAGAAAAGAUGGGAGAGAAACACCCAUGGCCCACUCCGUGCCCUCAUCUUGUGCCCGUGAAAACUGCAGGCUCAGCCAGCAAAGGCAGGAGAAGCAGCUGGACAUCAGAGAGAAGUGCCUUACUUCAGAGGGACAGCUCGAUGGUGUAAAUUUCAAGAAGAAUCCCAGGAGACAUCUGGACUUUGAGGGAAGAUUACCUUCCUUCUCUGUCUGCUUUUCAGCUCCUCUUCCCUCUGAGAGCCACGUCCAACAGCAAUAAAAUCC
rnacentral:lncRNA from 1 species